CAGCCGCCGCGGUAAAACCAGCACCUCAAGUGGUCAGGAUGAUUAUUGGGCCUAAAGCAUCCGUAGCCGGCUCUGUAAGUUUUCGGUUAAAUCUGUACGUUUAACGUACAGGCUGCCGGGAAUACUGCAAAGCUAGGGAGUGGGAGAAGUAGACGGUACUCGGUAGGAAGUGGUAAAAUGCUUUGAUCUAUCGAUGACCACCUGUGGCGAAGGCGGUCUACUAGAACACGUCCGACGGUGAGGGAUGAAAGCUGGGGGAGCAAACCGGAUUAGAUACCCGGGUAGUCCCAGCUGUAAACUAUGCAAACUCAGUGAUGCAUUGGCUUGUGGCCAAUGCAGUGCUGCAGGGAAGCCGUUAAGUUUGCCGCCUGGGAAGUACGUACGCAAGUAUGAAACUUAAAGGAAUUGGCGGGGGAGCAC
rnacentral:rRNA from 2 species